rnacentral:rRNA from 1 species
CCUACGGGUCGCUGCAGUGGGGAAUAUUGGACAAUGGGCGAAAGCCUGAUCCAGCCAUGCCGCGUGUGUGAAGAAGGCCUUCGGGUUGUAAAGCACUUUCAGUGGGGAAGAAAGCCUUGGGGCUAAUACCCUCGAGGAAGGACAUCACCCACAGAAGAAGCACCGGCUAACUCCGUGCCAGCAGCCGCGGUAAUACGGAGGGUGCGAGCGUUAAUCGGAAUUACUGGGCGUAAAGCGCGCGUAGGCGGUCUGAUAAGCCGGUUGUGAAAGCCCCGGGCUCAACCUGGGAACGGCAUCCGGAACUGUCAGGCUAGAAUGCAGGAGAGGAAGGUAGAAUUCCCGGUGUAGCGGUGAAAUGCGUAGAGAUCGGGAGGAAUACCAGUGGCGAAGGCGGCCUUCUGGACUGACACUGACGCUGAGGUGCGAAAGCGUGGGUAGCAAACAGGAGUAGAUACCCCGGUAGUC